GUUCAUUUUCAUCGUGGCGAUCGCUGGAAGAAGACAACGAGACUUCGUCGAACACGGACGAGCGGGCCUGACCCUUCGCUGCCUGUGGAGUACAUGCGACCUGCGAGCGUCACCUGGUGCAGGCAUAUUUGAUUUGUCACUGUGGUCAACUAGAAUGAUACAACUAUGAACAUAUUUUGAAAGCAUUUCGAGUAUGAAUCACUCAGAUUUCGCAAACAUUAAUAGCUCCAUUUUAUCGUAUAAACAUUUUAAGACUUAAGAAUAAAUGCUCUUCAAAGAGGACUAAUAAGUUUGAUAAA